GACGAACGCUGGCGGCGUGCUUAACACAUGCAAGUCGAACGGAAAGGCCCUGCUUUUGUGGGGUGCUCGAGUGGCGAACGGGUGAGUAACACGUGAGUAACCUGCCCUUGACUUUGGGAUAACUUCAGGAAACUGGGGCUAAUACCGGAUAGGAGCUCCUGCUGCAUGGUGGGGGUUGGAAAGUUUCGGCGGUUGGGGAUGGACUCGCGGCUUAUCAGCUUGUUGGUGGGGUAGUGGCUUACCAAGGCUUUGACGGGUAGCCGGCCUGAGAGGGUGACCGGCCACAUUGCGACUGAGAUACGGCCCAGACUCCUACGUGACGCAGCAGUGGGGAAUAUUGCACAAUGGGCGGAAGCCUGAUGCAGCAACGCCGCGUGCGGGAUGACGGCCUUCGGGUUGUAAACCGCUUUCGCCUGUGACGAAGCGUGAGUGACGGUAAUGGGUAAAGAAGCACCGGCUAACUACGUG
rnacentral:rRNA from 1 species